AGUAAGAAAAUAAAGAUCUCUGUGCUUAGCCUGCGAUGACAGUUUUGCAGCCAGCUAACACUGAGCAAGAAAAAUGAAGACUGCAGAAGUAGAAGAAGGAAAUGAAAGUUGCUCUACCGACAGGGCUACAUGAAUUCAGCAAUGGGUGGAUUAGGCUGAGUGUUAUCAGUGAUGAUGAAACACAGCAGACUGUGGCUGAGUGGUACGUUUCAAUGAUCAUUAUCAAAGGGCUAUACAGAUGUUCUUACUGUAGAUGCUUUCCAGGUGGGAAAAGUGUGCUACAGGUCCAUUAAAUGGCUUGCCUAAAGUGACACAGAAAAUUAGUAACAGAGAGGAGCAUAUGUCAAAAUCCCAUUUCCAGCUUCAGGACCUUCUUCCAUGACAUGCAAUGAAUUCCUGGUACUCAACUCCUUCAGGAGGGAAAGCGUUGCAAAGGGAUUAACCCAUGAGUCAACCCGUGUCAGAAGUCAUGUUCUUCGUCUCCAGGAGGACAGAGCUGAACACCACCAUGCUACAAAGGCUUGCACCAAACCAUGGGUUCAGUCUAAAAUAAAUGUCAGAUAUCUAUAUAACAAACAUUUAGAAAGAGUGCAGACCAGUGUUUACAGACAUUUUAACCUGCUGGAGCGUUGCCACGCUGGUGACCUCAAAAUGGUGCUAGCAAGAGCAGCGUAUGAGCCCUCGGAAGGGAAGGGCUUCGUCUGCACUGGACCCUGUGUGGAGGAGGGGGAUCGGAAGGGGAGAUUGCUUCUGGCUGCUUCUGCUUCUGACAGCCCCUAAGGUGCUGGCGGAAAAAAUAAAUCUAUGUCAGACGUGUUUGCA
rnacentral:lncRNA from 1 species